AGUGUAUUUAAGAUUUUAUUUUUGAAAUAUUUUUUUCUUCACGAGGAGAAAAUUACUAGGAAAGGAUUUAUAAAAGAAAUUGCAAACUUGUAAGAGCCGUCUGAUCCAAACCAUGGACUGGCCUAGUAACUAUCCCAUUAACCAAAACAGAAAAGCCCCAUACAAACGAUCCAUUUUGGCCCAUACUAUAUAAGACCCAGACCCUGCCGCGUUUUUCCAUUCCCACUUCUUCCUUUCCCAUAAAGCUUCCCUCAUACAAACGGACUACCUCUCUCUAACUCCACAAAACCUAACUUACCUUGAAAAAAAAAAAAAAUUCCAGAUAUAGAGGUUGAGGAAGAGAGAAAAAAAGAUGAUGAUGACUAAGACGAAGGCGUUCAAGAUGUGUUGAUGCCACGAAACUUGGUCCUUCCUCAAGUCUUCGACAAACUUCACGGCUUUCUCAAGGAUAGCGGAGCCCAAGUCUUCCUCUGUUGUGAGCCUUCUCGAAACGCCCCCGAUGAUUUCCACGUCAUCUCUCCCAUCGAUCACGUUCAUCCAAAUGUUCCUUGUAUGCUUUUUACACCUAUCUGCCCACAUUCCCUCUCAUUUAGAUCAGUUAUACUUCCAGAUUCUGCAAGGCUUAAAUUGAAGGUGUGGGUGUGGUAAUGUGUAUGCAUGGGCAUUGGAGUCAGCUCUUCUAACCUUCAUGUGAAAGAUUCCUGAUGAUGCUUGGAGUAACGCUUGGGUUUCUUUUGAUGGGAAGAGAAGGCAGCAACUCUCACGAGGACAUUCUGUCAGAAUAUCUAUGAGCCAGCACCCCCUCCCAACUGUCAAUAAAUCUGAUCAAACAUGUGAUUGGCUCCACUGCUUGAUUCGCUGCCUAAACUCGAAUGAGAGAAUGGAUCAAAAAGCCCUGUAAGGCCUUGCCUCUGACAUUGGGUAGCAAGUUUCUUCAUCCUCAAGGUAGGAUAAUGAAGCUUCAUGUAAAUGGCUGUACAAAUCUAAAUGGGAAAAAGUAAAAAAUGUUUAAUAUACAAAUAGUGGAUGUUAUUCAUUACCAACAUAGGCUUGUCCAUGUCAAUUUUCACCCUUAAAUUGUACAAACACUGUCAGUUAGGACACGGCACGAAUUUGAAAUAAGGAAAAAAAAAAGAUCUGAUCAUUUCUUUUUGGUGAAAGAAUCUAAUCAUCAAAUGUGUUGUAUUAAAGCUAUAAUUUGUCAUUGCAUGAUCAAUUACGUAUGUCUUUCUGGUAGUUUUGUAUCAUAUAUUUCUGCAACUUAAUAAGAGAAUGCGG